rnacentral:tmRNA from 1 species
GGGGCUGACCUGGUUUUGACAGCAAGGUAAAUGAUUGUGUAAGCAAGCCGGGCAAUGUGCAUAAUCCCGUUAAACUUUAACACAUACUUUUAAUUGGCGCAGACAAUUAUGCUCUUGCUGCUUAAUCGAAUUACAGUAGAUUAAGCUUAAUCCCGGUACUAGGUACUUGGACAAGACUUCCCUCGAUUGGACUUUUCGGUUCCGCUUCGGUUAAGGGGAGGCAAACAAUACCGAAAUAGCUGAGUGGCACUCCGACACAAACGCGAAACUUAAGGAGAUAAGGUUAGAGUUUGGGUGUGAGUCCCCGGAUUUUUUCCCGACAAUUAACGACUUACUAAGCUUGUAGAAAGCACCUUUGUUUCUUGUUUGGACGCGGGUUCGAUUCCCGCCAGCUCCACCU